rnacentral:rRNA from 1 species
UACGAAGGGGGCUAGCGUUACUCGGAUUGACUGGGCGUAAAGGGCGCGUAGGCGGUUUGUACAGUCAGACGUGAAAUUCCUGGGCUCAACCUGGGGGCUGCGUUUGAUACGUGCAGACUUGAGUUCGGAAGAGGGUCGUGGAAUUCCCAGUGUAGAGGUGAAAUUCGUAGAUAUUGGGAAGAACACCGGUGGCGAAGGCGGCUCACUGGCCCGGUACUGACGCUGAGGUGCGAAAGCGUGGGGAGCAAACAGG